rnacentral:lncRNA from 1 species
UGUUUUUCCUCUAGUGGUGUUAUGUGAACGUCGACUACAUAACACUUCACCAUUAUUUGGGCCUAGAGGAAGGCAUUGGGAAGUAGUAAGUAGAUGAUGGGUUGCUAGAGUGACAGAAGCUUAAACCCUAGUUUAUGCGUUGCUUCGUAAGGGGCUGAUUUGGAUCCACUAGUUUAAUGCUAUGGUUAGACUUUGUCUUAAUUCUUAUUUCGUAGUUGUGGAUGCUUGCGAGAGGGGUUAAUCAUAAGUGGGAUGCUUGUCCAAGUAAGGGCAGUACCCAAGCGCCGGUCCACCCACAUAUCAAACUAUCAAAGUAACGA